rnacentral:rRNA from 1 species
UACGUAGGGGGCAAGCGUUGUCCGGAAUCAUUGGGCGUAAAGAGCGUGUAGGCGGCUCGGUAAGUCCGCUGUGAAAGUCCAGGGCUCAACCCUGGAAUGCCGGUGGAAACUGUCGGGCUAGAGUCCGGAAGAGGCGAGUGGAAUUCCUGGUGAGCGGUGAAAUGCGCAGAUAUCAGGAGGAACACCAAUGGCGAAGGCAGCUCGCUGGGACGGUAGCUGACGCUGAGACGCGAAAGCGUGG